CUUUCCCUGCCUCGCGACACCCAGACCGAGACCUCGGGAAUGCUCCGGCCCCCUGCCGCCGUCUCCCGGCCCGGUUCUCUUUCACUAAAAAUAGGCGAUUCUGGCAGCGCCCCUCCUAUGGGGCCUUGGGGGCAAUUGGGGUUUUGUCUUAGAGCCCGUGUGGACCCGGAUGGCGACGGCAGCCCGAGGAGAGGGAGGGCUGACUGUAUGGUUGGCUUUCCGACGACCAGACCCUGCAGGAUUCGGCCUUUCCCUUUGGAGUUUUCCUCCAUCCCCCUCCGUCCCUCCCAGGGGAUGCCCGCAGGCCACAGUGGUCACUGAAGGUCAACCCUGAGCCGAAGGAGAAGUGGCCUCGACCCUGGGGACCCCUUCAGGUGCAGCUUGAGGGGGAACGGCCGCCUUUCCCGUUGGGCACCCAGCUGUGGCUGUGCCCUGUCCUCGCCCAGCUCCCGGCAUAGGCAUGCGCUCUGGGCCGGGGCCGGGGCCCCCCGCCUCCCCGGGAGGAAUCGCUGGGUUGACUCUGGGUCAGCAAAGGGAGCCCGGCCCUUUCUAGCGGGGGGACGUCCUGCAGCCGCUGGAGGAGGCUGAGUCACGCUUUUCCCACCAGAAGUCUACCUGUGCCUGCGCCCGCCGGACCUGCCGGCCUCUUCCUUCUCAUCCAGGGGGCCUCUUCUCCAGCCUCACGGAGGUGGGAAGCUUGCUGGAGGCCCCUACCUGCCUUUUGGGGAAGACCCCGAGGCUGGCCCACGCCCUGCUGGCAGGACCCUUCCUGACUGGGUCCACCGUUCUUCUGGGUCUCACCACUUCUCCCAGCCCCUGGGCUGCUUCCUCUCUCCCGUGUCUGGGACCCCAGAGGCACCACUUCCAUUCCAUACAAGGAGUCCACAGGACCUGUACAGUUGGAACCAGCCCCUCAGGCUUCCCUGCCAGAGCCCUUUUCUCCAGGAGCAGAGGCAUCCAUCCCCUCCUGCCAGCAUUCCAGACCCUGGAGGGCUUGCGCGGUGGCAGGUUUUCCCUUGAAUGCUGAGGCGAGGCUGAGGGAAAGGUGCGUGGCCAGGACCAGAGGGCCUGCUGACUGCCAGCUAAAACUCUGUGCAGGAGGCUUUCCCACGUACUUUACGUACUUUAAGAUGAUGAGCAAAAUCCUUACUGUCUCCCUGCAAAAUCCGUGUGGCUUCCUCUGGCGUGUCCCAUACUCUUGUGUUUGUGGCCAGACUGGGCCUCCGCUCUUCCUCCAAACUCAUUAGUUCUCUCCCACACAGAACACACAUUGUUCUGCCUGGAAGGCCCAUCACAUCCCUCCCCAACCCUCUCGGUUCAAUCUAAGCUUUCUUGGGGUCUCAGCUUAGGUUGCCUGUUCAGGGAAGCCUCUGGGACCCUCAGGUCUAGGUCACAUUUGUUUCAUGCUUUCACAGCGGUGGUGUAGUGUAUACUGGUUCUUCUUAUCCCUCAGGUGUCUCCUCACAAGGACUGCUCUGUUUCUGCUAAGUGUUGCAUUCUCACCACCCAGUGGAGGCUUUGGCCUGUGGAAGAUUCUAAUUUUGGUGGCCAGCCUCAUGGGUUGAAAAGUAAAGGUCAAGUAGUUAAAGGAAGGGCGUUCCAGGCAGAGGGAUCAGCGUAGGUGCAGAGGUAAGGUAGGGAUAGCUUUGAGGGCUCCUUAGGAGGGAGUGAAACCCCUGAGGGUCAAGGAGCCCUAGUUUGGAAGGCCUUGCUACUAAGGGAUCUGGAUUUUGUCCUGAAGCCUAGAGUAGUUUCUUUAAGAGUCUGAUCUCGGCCAGGCCUAGAGUAGUUUCUUUAAGAGUCUGAUCUCGGCCAGGCCUAGAGUAGUUUCUUUAAGAGUCUGAUCUCGGCCAGGCGCAGUGGCUCACGCCUGUAAUCCCAGUACUUCGGAAGGCCAAGGCAGGCAGAUCACGAGGUCAGGAGUUCCAGACCAUCCUGGCUAACACGGUGAAACCCGUCUCUACUAAAAAUACAAAAAAUUAGCUGGGCCUGGUGGCACGUGCCUGUAGUCCCAGCUACUCGGGAGGCUGAGGCAGGAGAAUUGCUUGAACCGGGGAGGUGGAGGUUGUAGUGAGCAGAGAUCAUGCCACUGCACUGCAGCCUGGGUGAUAAGAGUGAGACUCCAUCUCAACAACAACAAAAAAAGUCUGAUCUCAGCACUGUCCUGCCUAGACUGCUUCUUUUUUUAGGACAAGUUUUUAUUGCUACCUGCUAAAAACGCACUUAUUGUCACGGUGCAGGCUAGGUUGGAGGAGUAAAACUAGAGACAAGAAGAGUUAAGAAGCCACUGCAGUAUUCAAGACAAAUGAGUCAAGCCAAAGGCUGAGAUGCUGUACAGGAAGGUCUCUAGGGGGACCCUAAAUUUAGCUGGGGGUGGUGGUGCAAGAUUCCUACGAAGUGGCACUAAAGGAGGGACUGAGUACUUACUAAAGACCUUAUGACUAAGAGGUCUCUCUCAUCCCUACACUACUUCCUUCACUCCAGUGUCUAGAAUUGGCCUCUGUAUAUAGGAGCUCUUUGGUUGAGCAUGGUUCACACCUGUAAUCCCAGCAGUUUGGGAGGCUGAGGUGGGAGGAUCACUUGAACUCAGGUGUUCAAGACCAACACAGUGAGACCCCAUCGCUAUAAAAUUUUUAAAAAUUUUAGCCAGGCAUGCUGGGACUACAUGCCUGGCUAAUUUUUGUCUUUUUUGGUAGAGACAGGGUGUCACCAUGUUGGCCAGCCUGGUCAUUAACUUUUUAAAAAAAUGUUUAUUUUCCUGAUAAAGAUUCAGCAUAAAUUUUAGGCAGAAGUCUGACGUCUAGCAGUCCCCCAGAAAGCAUUCUGUUGUCUGUUGGGGCUUCCUUGGGAGAUGGACUGUGGGCUAGGCCUGGGUGCUUUGGCAGAUACAGAGUCAGAGGCUGUGGAAAGGGGAUGGUCCAGACAGGACUAUAAUAAAUGCAGGGAUGGCCGGGCGCGGUGGUUCAUGCCUGUAAUUCCAGCACUUUGGGAGGCCAAGGCAGGUGGGUCACUUGAGGUCAGGAGUUCAAGACCAGCCUGACCAGCAUGGCAAAACCCUGUCUCUCCUAAAAAUACAAAAAUUAGCUGGGCGUGGUGGUGCAUGCUUGUAAUCCCAGCUACUUGGGAGGCUGAGGCAGGAGAAUCACUUGAACCCAGGAGGCAGAGGUUGCAGUGAGCCGAGAUUGCGUCACCGCACUCCAGCCUGGGCAACAGAGGGAGACUGCAUCUCAAAAAAAGAAAAAAAAAAAGAAAUGCAGGGAGAAGUCAAGCUUCUAGCCUCCUUGUCAAAGGAUUUAAAGUAGCAUUAGAUGGUAGAGAGAAACAAAAGAUGACCCAAGUUUCAUUUUCUCAGCUUUCUACUGGAGAGAGGACGUCAUAUAAACCAGAGUGCGAAAAAGGUCAGAAUGGAACCCUGGGGCUGGCUAGCUCAAAUUUGUAUGAGGGAUGAAGGGCAGUCCUCUCUGCUCACACUAAGGCUAAAUGGCCAGGGCCUGCGGAGAAAUCACAUCCUUUGCUGUAGGAGUAGAAGGGAUUCCAUGUGCCUAAGAAAUGUCAGAGAAAAAGGGGAUGUGAGCUCCAUGGAUCCUCUCCAGGCCACCUGGAUCCCUCCUUAUCUUUGUAGGACUCUGCUUACUGCCAGCUGGAAUUGUCAACCAAAGGGCUCUAAGUUGGGAUCUCGGUCCCUUAAGAUGAGGGGAGAUGGCUGGGCGUGGUGGCUCCUGCCUAUAAUCCCAGCACUUUGGGAGGCCGAGGUGGACAGAUCACCUGAGGUCAGGAGUUCGAGACCAGCCUGGCCAACAAUUAAAAUUACAUUUUAAUUUUUUUAAAUAUAAAAAAAUUAGCUGGGCGUGGUAGCACAUGCUUGUAAUCCCAGCUACCCUGGAGGCUGAGGCAGGAGAACUGCUUGAACCUGGGAGGUGGAGGUUGCAGUGAGCCGAGGUCGUGUCACUGCACUCCAGAGCCUGGGCGACAAGGGCAAAACUCAAAAAAAAAAAGAAAAAAGAUGAGACGAGAAAGCUAGGAAGGCCUAAGCACAAACCUCAGCAGGGGGAAUCGCUAUAGAGGAUAAGCCUCCUUGUUCUUAAAGGCUAUUUUUAUUUCAGUUGGCUGUUUGGAGCUGUGUAAAAAAAAUGGAAAACAACAAUAACAACAACAAACAAACAAAAAAACCCUCCAAAGGGCUAUUUCUAAUUCAAAUCCCCGAGGUGUCUAUCUUUCCCCUUCCUUUGGGGGAGGGAGGAGGUGAGACAAGUAAUAACUUAGAGGAACGUUUCCUUCCAUCUUUGCAGGUCUCCUGAUAGCAGGAACCUUGCUGCAUCUCCUACACUUCUCAAGAGCAGAAAUGAGCUCACUGCCCCACACCCAGGAUUCUCAUACCACACUUGAGGACUCUCUGGUUUGGACAGACUAUGAUUAAAUUUAUCACAACUGUUAGUUCUCAUGGUCUGGGAGGCCAUCUCCUCUCCUCAGACCCUGUUACUCCUAGAUCUGUCCUCUCAUUAACUCUGUCAGCACAGGCUGCUCUCUCUUCCAGGACUCCAAGAGCUCCUCAUCACCCUCAUCUGCUGUAACACGGAAAGAACCCACUUACCUGCUUCAAUACUAGGUUUUGCCCCCCAUCCCAUUUUCAAAAAGUCAGGCACAAAGUAAAACCCUAUAUUUAUUAUCCCUCCUAUUUUGAGGCUCCAGCUCUAGCCCCAGACCUUUUUUGAUAGGAGAAGGUAAUACAGUUUAUUUUCUAACUUGUUUCCCCUAGUUUUCUCCUGUCUCGUCACCCGUGUGAUCCACGUGUAUCAGAAGUGAUAGGUGGCUCAAGAUCAUUUUGGUCAGAUUUUAAAAAUAAAAUAUUUUCUCCUUUUAUGUCUAAAAAUAUUACCUUACAGCCUACCGCUCCCAGCUGGAAAAAGAAAAUUGUUUCAUUUCUGUUUUUAUCCUCCCCCUUGGACUUGCUACUCCCAAGGGCCCCAGGAAGAACUAGACUUUGGUUGUACAGAACUGUGCUGUUAAAUAGGAUUUGAUAGCCACUAGCUACAUGUGGCUAAUUAAAAUUAAAUUAAAUACUAUCUUAAAAAUUGAGUUCAUGAGGUGCACUAGCCACAUUUCAAGAGCUCAAGUCAUAUGUAGCUAGUAGUAUCUACUGUAUUAGACAGCAGAUACAGAAUACUUCCAUUGUUACAUGAAGUUCUAUUAGCUUGAAUGUGGAGGACUAGCGUCUUUAGCUUCCUUUCUUAUAACCCCAUUUUACCAGCCAGCAAAUAUUUGCAAUAACUUCACUGUUACAGGAUAAUUUUCAGAGGAGUUAGGAAUUGGGGGUAGGAAGCAGCAUAGAAUCUACAAGUCUUAUAGGAGUUUCAGGAGGCAUGGCAUAGAGGCCAGGGGUUGAUGGUCAAUGGCAAGAGCCUUAGGUUUUAAGAAAGUACUUUAGGGACUGAUGUUAUAUUACCAGGGCCACCUCCACUGUGGACUCAGUGGUUCUGCGUAAUACCUGAAAACAAAAAAUGACAUCCCUACUGCUCUGCUGGAACUGAGUAGCUGAAGUGAUUGUUAUUACUCAAAAUCUCCAGAGCUUGAUUUUGUAAACUGUUUAUCUGUCACGGUUCUUGUUCUCCCAAAUCCAAGUGACAUAAGCAGCGGUAAUGUUUAGAAAAGGUUUGUUGACUUUGCUACCCCACUCCAAGAGCAGGGAGUAGUGGGUGUCAUAUCCACUAAUCCACUGAUACUCAGGGUACUUUUUUUUUUUUUUUUUGAGAUGGAGUUUCAUUCUUGUUGCCCAGGCUGGAGUGCAAUGGUGCGAUCUCGGCUCACUGCAACCUCCUCCUCCCAGGUUCAAGUGAUUCUCCUGCCUCAGCCUCCUGAGUAGCUGGGAUGACAGGCAUGCGCCACCAUGCCUGGCUAAUUUUGUAUUUUUAGCAGAGACAGGGUUUCUCCAUGUUGGUCAGGCUGGUCUGGAACUCCCGACCUCAGGUGAUCUGCCUACCUCGGCCUCCCAAAGUGCUGGGAUUACAGGCAUGAGCCACCGUGCCUGGCCCUCAGGGUACUUUUAAUAAAGUGCUAGCUAGGCAAGCCUAUUCUUCCUCUCAAGAGUAGGUGUUCCACUUUUGAACACCUAUGCCAGGCACCGGCUAUAGUGCCUACAAGAGGAUGAUAUGUGGACAUGACCACUUUCCCUGACUACAUCAGUGGUUCUCAACUGGGGAUGAUUUUGCAAUGUCUGCUUAUGGGACAUUUGGUAAUGUCUAGAGACAUUUGUGGUUGUCACAACUAGUGGAGGGGUACUACCUGCAUGUAGUGGGUAGAGUCCAGAGAUGCUACUAAGUAUCCUAUAAUGCAUAGGACAGCUGCCCACAACAAAGAAUUAUCUCACUCAAAAUGUCAAUAGGGUCGAGGUUGAGAAAUCCUGGUCUAGGCUGGGUGUGGUGGCUCAUGACUGUAAUCCCAGCAUUUUGGGAGGCCAAGGCAGGAGGAUCACUUGAGCCCACCAGGAGUUCAAGACCAGCCUGGGCAAUGUAGGGAGAUCUCCACAAAAAAUAAAAAUAAAUUAGCUGCACUAUAGUCCUUGUUACACAGAAGGCUGACGUGGGAGCAUCACUUGAACGUAGGAAGUGAGUGAGCUGUGAUUGCACUACUGCACUCCAGUCUGGGCAACAGAGUGAGACCCUGGCUCAAACAAAACAAAAACAAAAGCAUUGAAAGAAAGAAAGAGGCCGGGCGCGGUGGCUCACGCCUGUAAUCCCAGCACUUUGGGAGGCCGAGGCGGGCAGAUCACGGGGUCAGGAGAUCGAGACCAUCCUGACUAACACGGUGAAACCCUGUCUCUACUAAAAAUACAAAAAAUUAGCCAGGCUUGGUGGCGGGCGCCUGUAGUCCCAGCUACUCGGCAGGCUGAGGCAGGAGAAUGGCAUGAAUCCAGGAGGCGGAGCUGGCAGUGAGCCGAGAUCGUGCCACCACACUCCAGCCUGGGCAACAGAGCGAGACUCUGUCAAACAGAGAGAGAGAGAGAGAAAGAAAAAGAAAUCAAUCAAUCAAUCAAUCCGGUUUAGAUGACAACAUGAAUCAGGUUUGUUGUUGUUGUUGUUGUUUCCCCCGCAGACAGAGUCUCGCUCUGUCGCCCAGGCUGGAGUGCAGUGACGGCGAUUUCGGCUCACUGCAACCUCCGCCUCCCGGGUUCAAGUGAUUCUCCUGCCCAGGCCUCCUGAAUAGCUGGGACUACAGGUGCACGUCACCAUGCCUGGCUAAUUUUUUGUGUUUUUAGUAGAGACGGGGUUUCACUGUGUUAGCCAGGAUGGUCUCGAUCUCCUGACCUCGUGAUCCACCCGCCUUGGCCUCCCAAAGUGCUGGGAUUACAGGCGUGAGCCACCGCGCCCGGCCUGUAUCAGGUCUUUAUGCCAAAAUGAAUCAUGCAGUCUAGGCUCAGUAGGAUAGUAAGGCUGUUAAAUGUCUGAUAAAUUGGGAAGGAAAAAAUAUGGAGUCAGUGAAACAGUGGGCUCCCUAAAGCUGAAGGGCAGGUGUAAUUGGAGUGUGCUUAAGUGUAUUGGAAGGCUAAGAGCUAAGGUCAUAGUGCAAUGGGAGUUGAUUUCAGAUGUGUAGCCAAUCUGAAGAUGAGAUCCAGGGUACAGCCACAGAAGUAGAGGAACAAGUUUAAACAGUCUGACUUGUGAUACAGCAGUGAACAGCUGAACCUAAUAGGGAAGACAUUCAAUAAACAGGUGAGCUGUAUGUUUUUCCUCAAUGUUUUUGUAACCCACACUUCUACUUUUCAUAUACCUGAAAAUCUCACAUUUGCCCCUCCAUUUACAAUUUCAAAAUUAAGUAUCAUGAUUGAAAUUAAUGAAAGCAGUAGUAAUUUUAGAAGGAAAAAAUUUAUUCAGAUGAUGUGAUAGCCAUGUCACUGUUAAGCCUGAACUUUUCUUUCCUGGGUGGUGUGAAAGGUGCAAGAAAACACAAGCUGCUUUUAAUAACACUCUUGCACUGCUUUCUCCCCAAAGCUAGAUAUAUCAAAACAUUAAAAAAUAAAAAAGCUUUUUAAGGUGUAAGGAGCAAAUGGAAUAGUGGAUAAAGCCUUUUCAUCUGUUUAGUCAUUUUACACCCAAGUUUCUCUGGAGUAUUUGCCUGGAAGUUUCUAAUCAAAACCAUUAGACUUUGAGUUUCACAAACUCCUCUUGAAGCUCUUCCAGUGAGGCCUGCACAUCGGUAUGAAACACAUUCUUUCCAAAAGCUACCACUGGUAGAUUUUAAGAACAAGCUCAGGAGCACAUCACUCAAAAUAAUUCCAAGUAUUUCACUUUUUCCCUUCAAAUAACACUCAUGAAUCUGGUCCUUGAAAGACUAGCCAAGAAAAUUAGACAUUUUUAGCAUUAGUUUGCUCAUACAUACAUUUGCUAUAUUUUUAUGGUUGUAUUUUUGGCAAGUUUUGUUUGAUGUAUUUCAUAAUGAACGGCGAAAUUGGUGUUUGCCCAUUGACAUUUCAGUGUCAAUGUAUUUUAAGCUUCAGUGUGUUAAAACUCUGUUGAAAAUUUUAACUUUUGAAAUGUUCAAGUAUAGAUUAUUUUUCAUUGUUCUUCCAACCUUGGGGUUGUUCUGUCCACAAGUUCAGCAGAAUCCGUUUUUCUUUGGCAACCAAGAAACUUCAAUAUGUAACAGAAAACAUGGAAUGGCAUUUAGAUCUUCAAAAAGCAGGGCAAACUGGAAUGGAAUGUACUGUUUCUCACAGUGGUCUAUGCUGACAGCAAGGCUGAAGAUUUCCAGUAGGUUAUGGGUAAUCAGUGAAAGUUCAUGCUUGGUGGUGACAGCUGCAGUACAUCUUGAAUACCAGUUUUCUUCAAUCUUUGCCAAAAACCCAAAUUUAACACAGUUUGCUGUAGUGCCAUUAAGAUAUACUCCUAUACAAUUUCCUCCAACUCGGUUCAUUUGAUACAGCUGCAAAAAUACUGUCUUUGGUGGUCAAGUAGAAGGCUCACGAAAACAGCACACCCACAGUUUUGAAAGCCUUAUUCUGAAUGUAAGCAAAGUACAGUUUUCUUCAUCAGUAGAUUCAUCUCAACCAACAGCAAUAAAAGAUGAGCCGAUUUUUUUUUUUUUUUGAGAUGGAGUCUUGCUCUAUUGCCCAGGCUGGAGUGCAGUGGCUCAGUCUCGGCUUACUGCAAGCUCCGCCUCCCAGGUUCAUGUCAUUCUCCUGCCUCAGCCUCUUGCGAGCUGAUGUUUUUUAAGAUCUGAAGUUUGAUAUAUACAGUCAUUAAUUCAGAGUUAAGACUGCAGAAGUAGAUGAAGAAAUUCUGGAAUUCCUUAAUUUAUUUGUGGCAGCACUCAGAAUGCAAGGUUUCACAAGUGUCUCCAUUUUUUUCUCCUUUGCAAUUAAAAGGGCUGUUUAAUAUUAAGCUUUCACGGCUUGGAAGAUUCCUGUGAAUAUUUCAAUACUGUCCAGUCUUAAAGCUGCAGAGAAUCGGGCUUUGCAGAACACUCCACUGUUUUUAAUGGCAUGAAUUUAACAGUGUUUGGCAUGGUGUCACUGCCCAACACUUUCAGAUAACUCAACUGAAGAAGUUGACCCUAUCUUCUGCAAAAUAACAUGAGUAUAUACUUGAGAAAAGCCUCAACAUUUUUUUUUGGCUGCCAUUUUUAGCUACCUCAAAGGAGAUAACAGAAAAACAAGGAGUACUGAUGAUGGAAGCAUCUGGUCCCUCUUGCAGAGUGAUGAAUGAUUUUAUUGGUGGCAGCUGGGUGGCAGGACAAUCCAGGCAUCCAGUUAUGCCUGAUCCCCAAUAAGUGAAAUCUUUGUUCAUUUUCUUUUUAUACACCCGUCUGCUUCCUAAAACCUGACACCAUUUAAUGGUGCCCUUGGUCAAAUCUAAAUGAUCUUACUUUCAUAAUUCUUUGAUUCUAGCUUGCAGAGUCAAGACGAACUCUAACUCAUGGGAUGGACAAACUGGAAGAUGUAAAAUAAGUAAGGCUUUCUGGGCCAAAAAGCCUCUUCUUACAGAAAAUCAAAUUUUAAAAGAACAUUGACCUCAAAACAAUAAAACUGUCCUGGUUAUGCAAUAGAAAUAGCUAUAUAAAUGGAAUCAUAUCCUUAAUGAACACCUCCUGUGGCUACCCAACUUUUCACACAUCUUACUGAUUAUAGGCCUUGCUGUGAAUGCUUUCUUGCUCUAUCUGAAGUAUUCCCACCAGAGUUGUUUCCAACUUUAUUUCCUAUAUUAUGAAAAAUGAAGUUUUUUUAACAUUGUAACAAAGUAUAUGAAAGAUAAUGUAUACUGUAUUAAAUAAACCAUUAUACAAAAAUAGUUCCUUGUACUGUUAACUAUUAUUAUGACUUUGGUCAGUAAAAUUCUAAAUCAUGCGACUAUAAUUUACAUGUUUACCAAUGGAAGGAAGUGACAAUGAACUGCCUAAAGAAUGAAAGAGACACCCAGGCAUGGUGGCUCACAUCUGUAAUCCCAGCACUUUGGGAGGCCGAGGCGGGGGGAUCAGGAGGUCAAGAGAUUGAGACCAUCCUGGCCAACAUGGUGAAACCCCGUCUACACUAAAAAUGCAAAAAUUAGCUGGGCAUGGUGGUGCGCACCUGUAUUCCCAGCUACUUGGGAGGCUGAGGCAGGAAAAUCGCUUGAACUCGGGAGGCGUAGGUUGCAGUGAGCCGAGAUCGCACCACUGCACUCUAGCCUGAUGACAGAGCGAGACUCCAGCUCAAAUAAAUAAGUAAAUAAAUAAAUAAAUAAAAAUAAAAAAAGAUUUGUGUCUUAACUGUGCACUUAACAAUAUUUACUAUAAAAUGGGGGAAGGGGAUGAUGAUAAAAGUUAGCUGAGGAAGGCUGGGCACAGUGGCUCAUGCCUGUAAUCCCAGCACUUUGGGAGGCCCAGGUGGUGGAUCUCCUGAGGUCAGGAGUUCAAGACCAGCCUGGCCAACAUGGUGAAACCCCAUCUCUACUAAAAAUGCAAAAUUAGCUGGGCAUGGUGGCAUGUGCCUGUAAUCGCAACUACUAGGGGUGCUGAGGCAGGAGGAUCGCUUGAACCCGGGAAACGGAGGUUGCAGUGAGCCGAGAUCAUGCCAUUGCACUUCUGCCUGGGCAACAGAGCAAGAUACCGUCUCAAAAAAAAAAGUUAGAAGAGAAAUGGAAGGUUCUCUCUUUUCCUCAGCUUCAGUAUACUAAAACCCAGAAGCAUAGGACAUAAGUUUUUUCCAUGGGAUACUUUAGUUAUCACCUUGGGUGAAAACAUGGUACUAGGAUUUGUCCUUCAAGUCAGGUUAAUGUAACAGAGGUAGCAGUGACUUAUGGUUAGAUUUGUGCCUUAACUGUGCACUUCCCAAUAUUUGCUAUAAAAUGGGGGCAGGGGGGUGAUAAUAAUAUCUAAUACAUGAAGCCUGUAGGACAGUGCUCUGUGUUUGUGUUUUGACUGCAACUCAAAGAAAGCAAUAUAUUUUUAGAUGAAGUAUAUACAUGUAUAUAUAUAUAACUUAAAAGUUUCAUAAAGCAGUACUUACCCUUACUAUGUUCCAUGUGUUCUAAUAUUUUCUCUUACUUCAUUUUGAGAUAAUGCUAGGCAUGACCCAUUUAUUUUAAGACACACUAAUUGGUCAAAAAACAAUUUGAAAACCACUGCUAUAGGAGAACACGAGGAAAUAUAUUUUAUAAACUGUAAAGCACUACUAAGACGUGAGCAGCGGCUGCUGCAUAUCCAGGUCAACCUUUAUGGGCCUGAAGACAACCUCUCCUUCGUUUGGGCACUGCUAGGAGUCAAAUCUACCUAGACUUUUGGUAAGGAAGAUGGUACUCAUGCUCAUUGUCAUUGAGACAAUUAUCUAAUGCUUAGAAGUCAAGACUAGAAAGCAAGGCAUUAACCAUAUCAGCACCCAAACAAGGGAAGACAAGUUACAAGAAAGCCAAAUAAAACAGCAAACAUUUGUUUAGUGCUUUAUGGUUAACAUAUAUGAUCUCUUUUAAUCCUUACAAUCCUAGGGAAAAAGUGAAGCUCAAGGAGGUUGACACCUGCCCAAGACUAGACAGUAAGUGGCAGAGCCAGGUCAUCUGAUCCUAAAUCCCGCACUCCUUCCACUAUGAUAAAAUACCAGGAAAGAAAAGUGAUCAGGAUAUGAGGCACAUUCUGAUCCAUCAAAGAUGCUUAUAUGCUUUGCCUUUCUCUAGAAGGAAAACGGACCCCACUGAAGGUAGAGAUGCAAUCCCAGACUUUCAGAGGGGGGGUGUGGCCAAUUGCUAUCAGUAGUUUAGGACUCACAUCUGGCAUUUCUGUCUACCAAUACAUCUAUUUUGACACUGCUUGUGCUGAGGUCCCAAAUGUCUAUUAUCUCCAAGUACUGUGGCUUUCUAUUCCUAUCUGUACCUGUCCCAGGGAAUUGGUCAAGGACUCACAUUAGGGAGAAAUGAAGUACUGGGUAUCUGUUACUCACGUCCCUUACACUUAGGUAGACUGCCAGUAUUAGCAGUAGUGGUCCGCUUCCAGUGACCGUCAUAUUAUCUGUUCAGCUUCCUCUGGGGAAGCCAAUCUGCCCCAAUCUUCAUGGUUUUGUGUCUCCUUUUUUACCCAUAUGACCAUCUCUCUCCACCGUGUCUCCCUCAUCAAAUAAAGAGAAGUUUAGCAACUAAGUACCUGAGGAGGUGGGAAAGGAAUGCUACUCAUUCCUCAGCUCUCCUAGUUACCUUUCCACUCCCUUCAUCCCCCCACAUUCCCUCAUUUCUCUCACCUGGUACUCCUGCACCACCUCCUCCAAAGGCAGCACGCUGUGCUGUUUGUGGCUCCUGGAUUCUCGGCACACCACACAGAUGGCCUCUUUGUCCACCUCACAGAAGAGUUUCAGGGCUUCCUGGUGUUUAAAGCACAUGCCCUGAUCAUUACUCCGGUUUCCCCGAUAAGGAGUGGGGCACAUCUGGCGAAUUAUCUGGACCAUGUUGGCCAGCUGCAAGUUGGGACGAAAGCUGCGACGUGUAAAGCUCUUUCGGCACUGGGGGCAGGUGAACUGCCCUGGAAGGGGCAAGGAAGGAGGCGGGUGGAUGUCAGGAUACAGCUCUUCAUCUUCGUCCUCAUCGUAUGCUUCCAGUAUUUCUUCUUCUCGGUAGACAUCAAUUCUCAGGUCAGGUCUCAAGCCUCCUAGGUAAUAGUCCUGAUCUUCCUCUUCUUCUUCUUCCUCCUCGUCCCACAUAUAGUCUACGUUGUCCCAAUUAGUUAUACCACUGUCACCGAGCCAGAGUUCAUCGUCAUCUUGGUCUUGGAACAACUCUUCGUCAGCAUUCCCCCGAUACAACACCUCUCGAAUGGAGCCGUCCCAUCCAUCCAUGGCCCCCACCGCUUCCUCGUCCUCCUCCUCCUCCCAUUCAUCUUCCUCCUCGUUCUGGUCCUCCUCGUCCUCCUUACUCCACAGCUGGGUCACACACCCUCGGCAGAAGUUGUGCCCACAGCUGAUGGACACGGGGUCCUUGAAGUAAUCCAAGCAGAUGGCACACACCGCUUCCUCCUGAAGGGUCUGCAUGGGGCUGGGAGUAGUGGCAUAACCAGCCAUCUUAAUGCCCGCCGGCAGGUGUAGAUACGUCAGCUUGGAGCUGAGGAGCGGGGACGCGCCUGCAGGCCUGCCUCCAAACUACUCUGGUGACCCGAGGCUGUCCUCAACCUUGCUCUUCUUCCUCGGGGCCGCAGGGGAGCUUUGACCCCCUCUCUCAGGGUGCGAACGCCCAGAUCCAGACUCACAGCCUCUCUCUGGGAUCGGUGGGGACAGAGCAGGCUGCAGCCCCCAGCUGCUCGGUCCUGUCACGUCUCUCGCUACCCUCAGGGUGUGCCCUACACUGCGGCGUCCGCCUCAGAUGCAGCCGCUGGCUACCCUGCCCGAGGCGACGCAAAAUGACGUCUCGCUCCUGCACACGCUCUGGAGAGACGCUCUAGGCCGGCGGAGGACCACGUCUCUAUGGUGUGCCGGGGGCCGCGCGGGCCGGGAGUUGGGUGGGCUGGGGGACAGGCGCGCCCGCGCCGCCCGCUCCAGCUGGGCUAGUGCUGCACAUUCCGGCCAGCCCCUCCUCAAGACCCCAUUCCCAAGCCCCUUCUCAGCUCCCUCGGGCCGGCAGAGCGGCUCUGAUCAGUAAAAUGCUGUUGAAGGCCCACGGGCAUGACUGCACCCCUCACUAAUUGGUCAUUGGUUUGGGGAGGACACCACUGUCCCAGUGGAACCUUGAGCACACCUUGGAGCCCUCCUCUUCCUCUCCGGACCUGUGCCAAACUGUGAGUGGCACAGAGCAAGGACUGUAUGUGUUCUCUUCUUUGUUGCAUACUCAGUUCCUUGACCACAGUGCCAAGCACACAGCGAGCACUCCCUGUGUAUCUGCUGAGUAAAUAAACGAAUGAACAAACCCAACACAUUUCAGCCAAGUCCUGCUGAUGUUUCUCCUCCGAUCUAGCUCCUCCUUUCCAGCCUUACUUCUGCCACUCCAGAUUUCACCCCCAUCAGCUUCAGACUGGAUAAAAGGAAACCAUUUCUCUAAAGGAUCACUUGCUCUCUCAUUUCAGGCCAUCCUGCAGCCACCAGAACCUUCCACAUGAAAUGAAAGGCUCACCACUUCAUAGGCUUUAAGGAAAUUCUUGGCCAGGUGUGGUGCCUCACUCAUGUAAUCCCAGUGCUUUAAGAGGCCAAGAUGGGAGGAUUGUUUGAGCCAGCUGUUUGAGACCAGCCUGGGCAACGUCAUGAGACCCCAUCUCCACAAAAAAAAAAAAAAAGAAAAUUGGCUGGGUGCGGUGGCUCAUGUCUGUAAUCCCAGCAAUUUUGGAGGCUGAGGCGGGUGGAUCACUUGAGGUCAGGAGUUUGAGACCAGCCUGGCCAACAUGGUGAAACCCCGUCACUACUAAAAAUACAAAAAUUAGCCAGGCGUGGCGGCAGGUGCCUGUAAUCCCAGCUACUUGCGAGGCUGAGGAAGAAUUGCGUGAACCUAGGAGGUGGAGGUUGCAGUGAGCCAAGAUCAUGCUGCUGCACUCCAGCCUGGGCAACAGAGUGAGACUCCAUCUCAAAAAUAAUAAAAAUAAAUUAAAAAAAUUAAAAAUUACCUGCGUGUGAUGGUGUGCGCCUGUAGUUCCAGCUACUUGGGAGGCUGAAUUGGGAGGAUCAUUUGAGCCCAGGAGGUCAAGGCUGCAGUAAGCAGUGAUGGUGCCACUGCCCUCAGCCUGGGCAACAGAACAACAUGCAAUCUUAAAAAAAAAAAAUCCUGGCCAGGCACAGUGGCUUAUGACUGUAAUCCCAGCACUUUAGGAGACGGAGGCGGGCAGAUCACGAGGUCAGGAGAUUGAGACCAUCCUGGCUAACACGGUGAAACCCCGUCUCUACUAAAAAUACAAAAAAUUAGCUGGGUGUGGUGGCAGGCGCCUGUAGUCCCAGCUACUUGGGAGGCUGAGGCAGGAGAAUGGCGUGAACCCGGGAGGUAGAGCUGGCAGCGAGCCGAGAUGGCGCCACUGCACUCCAGCCUGGGCGACAGAGAGACUCCAUCUCAAAAAAAAAAAAAAAAAAAAAAAAAGCCAAGGGGAAGGCCCAACCCUAGCCUUGUCUUCUUUCUCCUCUUUGUGGAGAAGCUCACAGAUGUGGGUGUAGCAGAAGUGUGACUGCGGCCCACGCUGCCUCCCUGCGUCUUCUCACCUUCUCCUUGCCCUGCGCUGUCACACCAGCGAACGAACCACACAGCCUCCCCUCAAGGCAAAAAGCCGGGGUCAGGGGUCAACCUGCCAGCUGCCCACGCCGAGGGUUUGACAGCCUCAGCUAGGGCUCUCUAGGCUCCUCCUCUCCACAGUCUUUAACGGGGAGGAGGCCCGGGGCAAUGCUGCUGGCAGAGGAGGAGUGGGCUCUAGGUUAGGGAGAAGUGUGGCUGUGCACUGAAUUGCUCUUGGCAGUAGCUCACUGAGACUAACUCGGGGGAAGGCACUGUUGGUCCUGGCCUGGGAAAACACGGAAGAGGGCUAGAGGGAGUGAGCUGCAGUGCAUUGCGGGCAGGGUCCUGCAGGCUCCCAGGGUCUCGGCCCCAAGAGACAGAACCCCUGCCCUGCCUGGCCGUAAAUUAGAUGAGGCUGAGAGGAGCAGGGGCUGGAGCUGGUUUUCUCGGAGCCUCUGCAGCGCUAGGCCUUAAGCACACAGCCCCUUCACUCUUCCCGGCCCAUGCACCAGGGAGAGGACACGAGGUGGAGUGGCCUGGCCCCUCUGUCCAUCCAAUCUCUGGCUGCAGUAGGAGAGAGGGCCCCUGCAUGCAUCAUCAUCAAUUCCAAAGGGCUCCUAGGUUUGUGGGAAUUUCAGGCCAGGCAGGUGGUGGGAGAAGGAGACUGAGCUCAGGUUCUUCCCCUAAUCAGAGUGAAGAUCAAAACACCCUGCUCCUGAGUUCCCUGCAUCGGUACCUUCCCUGAGGACAGGAGACGGGGGACCAGGAUGGGAGAAGGUCAGGAGAGAGCUGGGGUUGACUCCCAAGGCCCAGGUUACAGCCCCCUGCUCUCAGCCCCAUCUCACGGUAGGCCCCUCCCCGGUGUGGGCCAGUCCAGCCUGCCCAAGUGAAAUGACCAACGUGCCAGAAAGUUUAAUUUCAAGGUUUAAACAAUAAUAAGUAAUACAUACUGAAAACAAAACAUACAUAUGCCUCAGACCCAGUGACUCCACCCUAAACCCUAUGCCCAGAGGCAAGAAAUGCAUGCUUAUGUUCACCAAAAGAUGGAUACAGGUGAUCAAGGUGCUGUUCCUAAUACUUCCAAACUGGAAACAGCCCUCCUAUCAACCAGAGAACACAUAAGCACAUUUGGCCUAUUUACAUGAUGGAAUAUUUACAUCAAAGUGAGAAUGAACUUACUACAUGCUAUGUCAUGGAUGCAUCUCAUAGACGUUAAGUGAAUUAAGCCUGGCAUAAGAGCAUCAGACUGUACGAUUCCAUUCUCUGAUGCUCACAACAGACAAAACUACUCCAGGGCCAGAGAAGGCAAGACCGUGGUUACGUGGGGGUGGAGAAUGAGUACAGUGGACUCAGGAUUUCUGGGGAUGCUCCAUCCAUCUCCUGUUCUGACUGUACGCUUUGAAAAUUCAUUUCAGCUGCAAAUGUAUGAUUUGUGUCUUUCUGUGGAGAUAUCACAUUUCAAGCAGAGCAGAUAAAGAACUACCAAUAUUCCCAGAGUCUGUAAUAGUCAAACCUGCCACAAACCUACAACCAGGCCUGAUGCAGACCCACUGGUCACGUUCACUGUGUCCAGCUGGGACUUCUGGAAUCUAAGAGACAGUGCCCAGCUGAAUUACAUAAGCCCCCCAAAAGAACAAAACCACCUUUGCCAAAUUAUGAACAAUGAGUGAAACCUACCACGACUGGUGAAGGGGUGGCCUGUCCCUCCACACUUGUGGGCGUUUCUCGUCGGGUGGAACGAGAGACUUGAGAAAAGAAAGACACAGAGACAAAGCGUAGAGAAAGAAAAGUGGGCCCAGGGAACCGGCACUCAGCAUACGGAGGACCUGCGCCAGCACCAGUCUCUGAGUUCCCUCAGUAUUUAUUGAUCAUUAUUGGGUGUUUCUCAGAGAGGGGGAUGUGGCAGGACAAUAGGGUAAUAGUGGGGAGAGGGUCAGCAGGAAAACGUGAACAAAGGUCUCUGCAUCAUAAACAAGGUAAAGAAAAAAGUGCUGUGCUUUUGAUGUUCAUAUACACAAACAUCUCAAUGCCUUAAAGAGCAGUAUUGCUGCCAGCAUGUCCCACCUCCAGCCCUAAGGCGGUUUUCUCCUAUCUCAGUAGAUGGAAUAUACAAUCGGGUUUUACACCGAGACAUUCCAUUGCCCAGGUACGAGCAGGAGACAGAUGCCUUCCUCUUAUCUCAACUGCAAAGAGGCCUUCCUCUUUUACUAAUCCUCCUCGACACAGACUCUUUACGGGUGUCGGGCUAGGGGACAGUCAGGUCUUUCCCUUCCCACGAGGCCAUAUUGCAGACUAUCACAUGGGGAGAAACCUUGGACAAUACCUGGCUUUCCUCAGCAGAGGUCCCUGUGGCCUUCAGCAGUGUAUUGUGUCCCUGGGUACUUGAGAUUAGGGAGUGGUGAUGACUCUUAAGGAGCAUGCUGCCUUCAAGCAUCUGUUUAACAAAGCACAUCCUGCACCGCCCUUAAUCCAUUUAACCCUGAGUGGACACAGCACAUGUUUCAGAGAGCACGGGGUUGGGGCUAGGGUUACAGAUUAACAGCAUCUCAAGGCAGAAGAAUUUUUCUUAGUACAGAACAAAAUGGAGUCUCUUAUGUCUACUUCUUUCUACAUAGACACAGUAACAGUCUGAUCUCUUUCUUUUCUCCACAGACUGGCCCACCUGGCUUCUAACCUUAUAGGCUGUUUUGGUAUUUUUCUCUUGGUUAUUCUAGCACUGAGGCCAAAAUAACUAUGAGAGGGAUUUAGUUUAUAGUUAAACUUGGAGGCAAGGGAAACGAACCCCCUCCACCCCAUCCAGAGAUUCGGGCUGCAUUCACAUGACAAGGUUAGUAUUAUGGCAGGGGCUUGGACCUUGCUAAAGAAUAGGAAUAAUUAAGCACUGAUUGCUGUCGCUUAGCAGGUUUUCUGUAAGUUACCGACUGCCCCAG
rnacentral:lncRNA from 1 species